rnacentral:pre_miRNA from 1 species
CAAGUACUUCCUUCAUCCUGAAAUACUUGUUAGAUAAAUGGAUGUAUCUAGACGUAUUUUGGUUUUAGAUACAUUUAUUUUUAUCCAUUUCUUCGGCAAGUAUUUCCGGAUGGAAGGAAUAGAAG